GAGGCCUGUGAUGAUUUCAAAACUAAUUUGCCUACAUUGUUUGAUUAUCUGCUUUUUUGGAUAAUGAAAAAUUAUAAUCAUAUCUGAGGCCUUC